rnacentral:rRNA from 1 species
ACUCAAAGGAAUUGACGGGGGCCCGCACAAGCGGUGGAGCAUGUGGUUUAAUUCGACGCAACGCGAAGAACCUUACCUGGGCUCGAACGGCUUACGAAGUUUGGCGGAAACGCCGGAUUUCCCGCAAGGGACGUGAGUCGAGGUGCUGCAUGGCUGUCGUCAGCUCGUGUCGUGAGAUGUUGGGUUAAGUCCCGCAACGAGCGCAACCCUUGUCCUGUGUUGCCAACCGAAAGGUGCACUCUCAGGAGACCGCCAGCGAUAAGUUGGAGGAAGGUGGGGAUGACGUCAAGUCAUCAUGGCCUUUAUGUCCAGGGCUACACACGUGCUACAAUGGCCGGUACAAAGCGCAGCAAACCCGCGAGGGGGAGCAAAUCGCAAAAAACCGGUCUCAGUUCGGAUUGCAGGCUGCAACCCGCCUGCAUGAAGCUGGAAUCGCUAGUAAUGGUAUAUCAGAACGAUACCGUGAAUACGUUCCCGGGCCUUGCACACACCGCCCGU